GAUCAUGGCUCAGAUUGAACGCUGGCGGCAGGCCUAACACAUGCAAGUCGAGCGGCAGCACGGGAAGCUUGCUUCCUGGUGGCGAGCGGCGGACGGGUGAGUAAUGCAUAGAAAUCUGCCCGGUAGUGGGGGAUAACCUGGGGAAACCCAGGCUAAUACCGCAUACGUCCUACGGGAGAAAGCAGGGGAUCUUCGGACCUUGCGCUAUCGGAUGAGUCUAUGUCGGAUUAG
rnacentral:rRNA from 1 species